UACGGGGGGGGCAAGCGUUGUUCGGAUUCAUUGGGCGUAAAGGGUGCGUAGGUGGCGAGGUUAGUCAGGUGUGAAAUCUCGGGGCUCAACCCCGAAACUGCACUUGAUACUGCCUUGCUAGAGUACUGGAGAGGAGAUUGGAAUUUACGGUGUAGCAGUGAAAUGCGUAGAUAUCGUAAGGAAGACCAGUGGCGAAGGCGAAUCUCUGGACAGUUACUGACACUGAGGCACGAAGGCCAGGGGAGCAAACGGG
rnacentral:rRNA from 1 species